CUGUGCUUUAAUCAGGGUUCCUUUGUUCAUCUCUGCCGAGGGGUAGUUUGUUUUACACGGACGCUGUUUUACAAAAUAAGCAUGUCCUCUUGGCAAUGGCUUGUCCCUAUAAAAGAUGGUGACACAUAUGUUUUGUCAAGCACCAGGAAAAUCAUCUAUUGGAGACUGAUACUUGGAACUCAUUGAGAACUCUGUGGCAACAGCCGGCACAAAGAUAAGCGUAUAUUGUGAUUAAUUAUCCAUAACGCAUAAUUUCAAAUCAACUCCAUCUGUUACAACUUUUGUGCGUAGAGGAUGAAAGUGACAACGCCUCCAUUCAAGUCCUGAUAUACGUGGGAAUAGGGUGAGAGCGCUUGGUGCCUGGAGAGGAAGCGGGAUCGACAUUUUAUUUUAUCAAGGAAAAAAAAUAGCCAUAGAUCUUCAAAUACUGUCGACCACAGCGAAAGUUCCACAUCACCCGGACAGUGAGGACACACGCAAUGGCAUCUCGAACAUGCUGGAUGACAAUGACCCUGCUCGUCAUGUUGACCAUGGCUGGGUUAAUGGACCAGUCAGCAGUCGUCGCUGAAGGACCAUUUCGUCCUGCUUCCAGUCCGUGGGCGCCUUGGGUGUCUUCAAGAGCCCUCCGACUUGACCAAAAGCAAGUGAGGAAGAGAAAGGACGCGAACGGUGCUGGUUGUGGUGGCGGAAGCGACGCCAAGACUGAAAGUCCCUAAGAGAUAGGGUCGCUGGAAUGGUUAUGCCAUCUGCUAGCUGUUGGCAGCGAGCCUCGCUCGUGCAGCUGACAGUUUAUGUUAGCAUCAGCCCAAGAACCUUCCGUGGAAUCCGAUCUCCUUCACCCCUUCAAAGGAUAGCGAGGACGAUUGAAUUUGUUGCUGUUUGGUUUCACUUUUUACAAAAGGGGAAAAAAGGAAGUCGGAACAUUUAAUUUUUCUGCACUCGAUGUUUAUUUUCAUUGAUUUGGGAGCAGGGUUCAACACUUAGUAUUAUAUUCCUAUAUUCCAUUCAGAUAUUGUUUCAUGUCUUGGAUCGCUUUCAAACUGUUUUUUAUGGAGCAUUGUGCCUGUUUUAUAGGCAGCUAGUCAUAUCAUAAUACAGUUUUUAAAACCACAAUAUUUGCUUUUAAAUUCCGGGUACAACAGUCGCUGGGACUGCCUAAUGAAAGGUCUCAAGGGUAGUUUAGAAAAUUUAAAUUUUCAUUCUAGAUGUACAUAUUCCAGCGUUGGCCUCAAAUUUUGCAGUUUUCCGGUCGGGCUCGUGCACACAGUGCAAGUUUUCAAAACGCAGUCCUUUUAAGUGCUUCUUUGUGUCCCGUAUAAGUUUCACUCGAUUUUCAAUUUUUUGUGUACCACUUAAAGAGCAUUUUGGAAUCCUGAUGAUUUUUGUGCCGAUGAACCGCAUUUUUAUCGGCACAAGUCGGAUUUAAUUCAAUCAGACACCCUACCAGCUUCGCACAAAACUUGUUACCCGAGUAUGGGAUAUUUUGCUGUCUUAAAUUUUGUUUUGCGUAAGGGAUUCAUUGACGUUUUAUAGUUCGUGACGGUAUAGACAAGCGAGUGAAGUUUUCUAGCAGAUAUAUCCAAUGAGCAAGAUUGAGUUCAUAACUGAAAUACCCCCUAAAAAUGAGGAGUGAAUUCCUAUAAUGAUGUCACAGCAAAAGCACCGUCAUUUUUCAGAAAAGAACAUGGAAAACUGUAAAUGUUUUAAACAAGUGUACUUUUCAGUGUGAGUGACGGACUUGUAACGAGUCACUAAUUUUUAUGACUCGAGUCGACUCAUUGUAACGUAGUGACUUGGGUCGAGUCAUUUACCUAUCCGGACUCGAGUCGAGUCGCCAAAAAUUGUGACUCAGUCGAGUCAUUCCAACUAUGGACGCCAUCUAGUUUCUAGCUCGAAGAAGAGUAGAAAAUUGCACACACAAAAAUGCUCCCAAGCAUGAAGAAUUCACAUCAUGGAAGCACUUGAUGAACCCUGAGCUGGAAUGAGUCAAGUCCAUGUAUGUAUAACAUGAUGAGGGUCGUCAACAGCCUGGAGCCGGCGGGACCAUAGUUUUAGAUACAGCCGAGAUUCAUUGGUCCUCUCACAAUUUCUGUAAUAAUGCACUCUGAGAUCAACAACUACACUCGUUAUUAAAGAAACAGUGAAAGAACUAUUAUCAUAUUUGCAGGGGAGCACCUGGGUUUGGAAGAAAAACAACACCAUGCAGGGGAUCAGAGCUGCUAACAAAAAAGAUUGUUUUGACUUGAUUCAUUGCUCCUGUACAUGGGUAUUUAUUACAUAAGUUUGAAGCUAGCCGUGCAAAUUGACUAUUUGAUAAAAAAUAACCCUGUAUGUCUCCUUGUUCCCUCUACUAUUCCUGUUAUCUUUGUUUAAAAGUAUAGUUAAUUUUCAAAAUAGGCUCCAUGAAUAGUAUAACUUUUGAAUUUGAGGUAUUGUGUGGAUUUCGAAUCUGAGGACUGUUAUCGCUUCAUGUUUUUGUUGAGGCUUUGCGUAUGGUCGCUUUGUUGGUGAUGAUAUUGAGGGACGUCAUAGCGGGAAAGGGGUUGGUUUGAUUACCCUUAAUAUAUCCAUUAAUUUGUGGUUUUCGUUGGCUAAAUGCCAGGCACUUUACGAAUCUCCUUCAAUGCAUAGGUUCGCCGGCGCUCUUCGGUAAAUUUUGCACGGGUCAGUAUUAAUUUUGCUGUCUUUACUUUCGUGGGUAGAUUUCUUGUCACAUGUGUGGGUGUACAAAACUCCCACACAACACGCAAAAAUGUUUAUAUCACUCCCAUUUGAACCAGAUUCAUUUUCCUAGUUUGGAAAUUCGACUGAACGUGCCUUAUUCAAAAUACUUCAUUU